rnacentral:rRNA from 1 species
UACGAAGGGGGCUAGCGUUGUUCGGAAUCACUGGGCGUAAAGCGCACGCAGGUGGCUGAGUCAGUCGAUUGUGAAAGCCCUGGGCUUAACCUGGGAAUUGCAGUCGAUACUACUCAGCUAGAGUAUGGGAGAGGGUAGUGGAAUUCCCGGUGUAGCGGUGAAAUGCGUAGAGAUCGGGAAGAACAUCGGUGGCGAAGGCGCUCUACUGGACCACAACUGACACUCAGGGACGAAAGCUAGGGGAGCGAAUGGG